AUUGAACGCUAGCGGGAUGCCUUACACAUGCAAGUCGAACGGAGUGCCGAACGGGUGAGUAAUGUAUCGGAACGUGCCCAGUAGCGGGGGAUAACUACGAGAAAGCGUAGCUAAUACCGCAUACUCAUGGACCGGCCGAUAUCGGAUUCGCUAGUUGGGGGGGUAACGGCGGACCAAGGCGACGAUCCGGAGCUGGUUUGAGAGGACGACCAGCCACACUGGGACUGAGACACGGCCCAGACUCCUACGGGAGGCAGCAGUGGGGAAUUUUGGCCAAUGGGGGAAACCCUGAUCCAGCCGUCCCGCGUGUGCGAUGAGGGCCUUCGGGUUGUAAAGCACUUUUGGCAGGAAAGCGGUACCUGCAGAAUAAGCACCGGCUAACUACGUGCCAGCAGCCGCGGUAAUUC
rnacentral:rRNA from 1 species